UGACAAUGCGGCUGUUGGUCACGGAUGCCGGGGGCGUGAGCGGGGUUGAGGAGCUCACGUGGUGCUAUACAUGACGACCUGCGAGUGGUGGCAGGAGGUGGCAUGCCUGCUGCUUGGCUGGAAGUCCGACAUGAACUCCCACGACCGACUGUAAGCAUGGUUGUGAAGACCUUCCAGCAUUACCCCAGGAAGCUAACACAUCAGCUUGUGCCAUACGUGGUGUUUUCUUGUUGAUGAAUGUUGGUCUAGGUAAUCUCCUUGAUGAACCAUGUGACAAUUAAUAAAGUUAAUAAAGGACAGCAUACUCUUUUUGUC